GGGAAGGCCAAGCCCCAACCCCAUUGCAUUUUUGGCUUUGUUCUCUGUUCUCCCACCAUCUGUCCCUAGAUGUGGCACAAUCACGGAAGUGGGCAGUUUUUGGCCAGAGGACCUAAAAAGGGGUGCCUGCGAACCAGAAAAUACUGGGGAUGUGAUGGAGAGAAGAGCUCUGGGAAACAAGCCCAUAAAGUUGUUUGUGAACUCCUGGGCUCACCCUAGACCUGCACAUGUAUGAAUUUGAUCCUAAUUAGUACCAAAGAGUUUGAGAACCAAGCUCAUAGGUUGACCACUCAGGUCCCAGAGUAGUCAUUAAGUUGUACACUCACAGAACAAACCCAGGAAGGAUGCAAAGGCUUUGAGAAGUGAACUGGCAUUGGCACCAUGGCCCACAGGAGACUAAAGCAAAAAUAUCUGCUGUUUUAGGGAUUCUCAAUAUCACUUACACAUUCAGUGAUUUGCUGGAAGAAUUCACAAGACUCAGCAUAUAGUUGUACUCACAAGUAAGAUUACAGCAACAUGGUAGGGACGCACAACCAGAUCAUAAGGGAAAAAGACACAGGUAGAGUCUGGAGGAAUCCAUGUGUAAGCUUUCCAUGAUCUCUCCUUUCUGGGAUGAGUCACACACAACACAGUUUUCCCUGCAGCAAAAUGCAGCGACACGUGUCUCAUGUUUCUGCCCAGGGAAGCCCACUAGAGACUCAGUGCCCAGGGUUUAUACUGGGGGCGGGUCACAUAGGCACCCUGUGCUUGGCAGUUGCCAAAUUCCACAGUCCCAGCUUACAGGAAAGCAGAUGUUCACCAUAAAUCACAUUGUUAAUCUAAGGAAAGCAAAACACCUUUGUCAGUAUAUGGAACUUUUACGAAGCUUAAUUCCCAAGUGCCAGCCAAGGGUCAACCUUAUAAGCAGGUUCUUUUUUAUUUUAUUUCAUUUUUAUAAAUAGAGACAGGGUCUUGCUAUAUUAUCCAGGCUGGUCUCGAACUCCUGUCCUCAAGAAAUCCUCCUGCCUCGGUCUCACAAAGUGCUGGGAUUGCAGGCGUGAGCUACCACACCUAGCUCAGGUGCUUCUAAAGAUAGCAGUUUCAAGCCUGCUAUGUUUACUGUUUUAUGAAUGUCAACAUUCUCCAUAGGAUAUAAACAAGACCCAGAGUUUUAUAAUGCUCAAAAUAUCCAAGACAUUAACCAAAAUUACUCAGCAAUGAAAGAACCAUGAAAAUCUCAAUUUAUUUCAGGAAAGAGAAUCAAUAAAUAUCAACAGAUGACAUAGAUGUUGAAGUUGUCUGACAAGAACUUCAAAGCAACUAUUAUAAAAUACUCACAUGUGCAAUCACAAACACCCUUGAAAUAAAUAUUAGAACAAAUGUAUCAGCAAAGAAACAGAAGAUAUAAAGAAGAGCCAAAUCAAAAUUUUGGGGUUGAAAACUGCACUAACCGAAAUCACUUAUUGUAUGAACUCAGUGGCAGAAUAGAGAUGGC
rnacentral:lncRNA from 10 species